GAAUGGACACUGGCUGAAACCUAUACGGCCCCUGGAUUGGACUGCGGCCGAUCAGGCUGUUGGUGAGGUAAUGGCCCACCAAACCUGUAACCGGUACGGGCUCUGAGAGGAGGAGCCCGGAGAUGGGCACUGAGACAAGGGCCCAGGCCCUAUGGGGCGCAGCAGGCGCGAAACCUCUGCAAUAGGCGAAAGCUUGACAGGGUUACUCUGAGUGAUGUCCGCUAAGGGCAUCUUUUGGCACUUCUAAAAAUGGUGCAGAAUAAGGGGUGGGCAAGUCUGGUGUCAGCCGCCGCGGUAAUACCAGCACCCCGAGUGGUCGGGAUGAUUAUUUGGCCUAAAGCAUCCGUAGCCGGCGCUACAAGUCUUCCGUUAAAUCCACCUGCUCAACAGAUGGGCUGCGGGAGAUACUGUAGGACUAGGAGGCGGGAGAGGCGAGGGGUAUUCCAUGGGUAGGGGUAAAAUCCUCUGAUCCAUGGAGGACCACCAGUGGCGAAGGCGUCUCGCCAGAACGCGCUCGACGGUGAGGGAUGAAAGCUGGGGGAGCAAACCGGAUUAGAUACCCGGGUAGUCCCAGCUGUAAACGAUGUAGGCUCGGUGAUGGACUGGAUUCGAUCCAGCCCAGUGCCGCAGGGAAGCCGUUAAGCCUACCGCCUGGGGAGUACGGUCGCAAGACUGAAACUUAAAGGAAUUGGCGGGGGAGCACCACAAGGGGUGAAGCCUGCGGUUCAAUUGGAUUCAACGCCGGA
rnacentral:rRNA from 1 species